rnacentral:misc_RNA from 1 species
ACUCGUGUUUAUAUGCUUCAAGGAGAACCAGAAGAGGGUUCAUUACAGAGAAUCCCAUCUCAUAAAGAGAUCUUUGGGUUCGAGGUUCUGAGGCACUAGCAGCUCCACGUAGCCGCUCCAACAAGCAACUGACUGAUAGGAUGACAUCUGGCUGUUGAGCAACACUUUUGAGGUCACUCUUGUUAGACAAUUCCACUAGAUAAUUUGUCGUAUGACCCAUGAGAUCCCUUACAUAUUGAUUAGAUGCUUCUGAAUUUCUUAUUCCAGAAGCACCAAGGACAAGGGUUUGAGCCAGUGAACGUUGAUUGGCAGUGUUUAACAAGAACAAGGCUUUGUCAUUAGCAAAAGCAUUUGCUAGUUCACGCCACGAGUCC